UUAUGGGUGGUUCAAUGGUAGAAUUCUUGCUUUCCAUACAGGAGACCCAGGUUCAGUUCCUGGCCAACAUA
rfam:Loxodonta africana unplaced genomic scaffold scaffold_12, whole genome shotgun sequence.